CCCCUUCUCCAGCAUCAUGUCUGCCCAAGUGCUACCUACCAUGUCAACGGACUAAACCUCUGAAAAUGUAAACCAGCCCUAAUGAUAAGCUUUCCUUUAUAAGAGUUGCUGUGGUCAUGGUGUCUCUUCACAACAAUAAAAACCCUAAAUAAGAUGCUAUGUAUAUAUGUUUGUGGUGUGUGUUUGUGUGUGUGUUUCUCUGUGUGUAUGUGUGUACAUGUAUUGUGUGUAUAUGUACAUGUGUGCACAUAUGCACACAUAUGGACAACAGCCCUCCACCUCAGGUGUCUUCUUCCCAAAUCCUUUUCUACCUUGUUAUUUAAAGCAGGUUUUGGUAUAGAUACUUGUGUCAUACCCAGUUUUUCUAUGGGCAUGCUAGUUGUCUUCAUGGCAAGUAUGCUACCCACUGAGCCACCUCCCAGCCCCUGGGUUGCUCAUUAACACACCCUGCAGUGCCAGUGCCAGUGCCAGUGCCAGUGCCAGUGCCAUCAGCCUCUCCCCGGUGCAUUUAGCAGGGCAUUUCUGGCAUCGCCUCCAGGCCCACUACUUGGAUCCAGCCUCUCACAGCCCACUUCUGACAUCAAAGCCAAAACAAGAGAGAAAGGGCAUUAAGAAGCCAGGGAACAGAAGUAGGUUGAUGUGGAUAUCAUUUUCUAAUUGUUUUGGGCUUCGCCAGACUUUCUUAUAACCUCGCAAGCUGCCUGCACCCCCAUGCCAUCCAUGAAAUGUGCAGUUGCAGCUCCCUUGCUUUGGUGACCUUUGUCCUAGCUAUCAUGUUUGUGUCCCUUCACACUUUCCCAUCUUGCCUAGGCCUUUCUUCUUCCCAACUUUGGCCAUCUUCAGCCCAGAUAAACACUGCCAAAAGAAAUCCUUACAACAUUCAACCUACGAUCUCCUCGUCCACAGUCAUAGCAUCACCUCAAGGUGCCCAGUGCUCAAAGGCCCAGUCCGAUAUUCUAGUAUUUCAUCUCUCUCUGCUUUUGUCUGUCUGUCCAUCUUUCUUCCUUCCUUCCUUUCUUCCUUUUUUGUUUCUUUUCUUUGUUGUAAUUUUGAACUAGGGUCUCACUGUGUUCUCCAGAAGCCCCUGUUCCUCCAUUAUAGACAUCACCCAUCUUAACUUCAUGUAAUUUUUCAUUCUUCCCUUCUCUUCUUAGCAGUAAAUCCCGUUUUCCCCAGACCUGAAAACUAGCAGAGGAAUUGCCUUUCCUUGCACUUUCCCUUGCACUUUUCUGAACCAGCGUCAGCUUGUGUUCUGGUGAGCAAUGAAGUGUCAGGCCAGUGGAAUCCUCUAAAAGUUGCACAGAAAUAAGGCACAUGGCUAAAGACACAGAGAUUAGACUAGCAGGACAAAUGGGUAUUAUCUGAACACACCAAAUAUAAAAAAAAAAAAA